GAGACAUAACAGGAUAAUUACCAUGAUAAUGCCGGUAUAUGUCUGUGUGUCUGUGUGUCUGUGUCUAUGUGUGUGUGUGUGUGUGUGUGUGUGUGUGUGUG